rnacentral:lncRNA from 1 species
UCGUUGUUAUAGCACUUGUUCUUACUGCCCUUGGUAGCCACAAUUCCAGGUCAGAGGAGCUUGGCAAUUUGUUUUGAAAGGUGCACCACCACGUGAUCUCAGAAUUCUUUAGGGCUUUGAGCAGGAAUUCCCGACACUCCACGUUAGCAGCUUAUGAAAACAUUAGCUGAUUGGCGGGUCUUCUGUGUUCACUAUUGCUUAUGCAAGACUGUCGGCUGUGGUGCAUUUUUAUAGACCAUCCCUUGAUCUAGUCUUCUCAAAAGCAUCCCAGUAGCUGUUGUUUGAGUCCUUUACCGUAUCUGCACAGACCGAAGCCUUAGGAAUCUCCAAGCUAUAAGAUCUGAGAUACAUAAGAGAGGGGUAAAUGUGGUAAACUGUGCUUCCUGUUAAACAGAUUGAUUGUGAAGGGACCCAACCUUUGUCUUCUCUCCCUGUUUGCUCCGUCUCCUCGCGUUUGAGAUACUCUUGACCUAAUCCAGGAAACGUUAAUUAAUUGUCUUGGUGGGUUCUAUUUCAAGCCAUCCUGUAGUGCCGUUGACACUCGAUCUGUUCCACUAAGGUCAAAUUAGCAUCUUUUACUAUUUUUCUGCCAUUUAAACGAUGACUUAGCUGCGGUUUUUCAAGUGUUUAUAGUAAAUAUGUCCAUUUGACAGCGGUAUAAAUAUGCAUUAUGUGUUCAUGGCUGAGCCCACCCCCUGUCACUUUUUAUUCUAAUGAGUGUCUUUCACUUUCUGUUGUUUAAUAGGGACUGGCUGACAAGGCUACAUUAAAACCGCUCAAAAGGCUCAAAAGAUAAACCCCUCAGCACUGCUUACUUUUCUCUUGCUAAAGUAUUUGUGUUUUUCCAGCACAGUGCCAAUGACACCACUCUGACAUUUCCGCUCGCCUGAUGAUGGAAGGAACGACUAGCUUACUCAGUCUGGGACCUUGUUUGGGGCCACACCGUUUGCUUCUGAGUUAACAUCUGCUCACUGGGGCACUGGGUUAACAGUCCUUUUUCUAUUAGAGGUUUUGACCUCUAAAGAUCCACGUGGGGUAAUAGAAUACAAAUGUAGUUAUGAAUGCUCUAAGGUAUCUUCAUCAUCCCAAGGUCCAGUAUCUUUGUGUGCAGAAUGUAUGUGUAUUGUAUGUUCAUGCACUGUGUUUCUGUGUUCAUGUGUGUGAAUACAUGAAUGCUUAGACACCAGAGGUCCAAGCCAGGUGUUCCUCACAUGUUCUCUGGUUUUCUUUGUGCACCAGGGUUCCUCACUGAACCUGGAGCCCGCGUAUUUGCCUAGCCUGGCUGGUUGGGAUCCGCGUGUCUCUACCUCUCGCUCAGGCUGGGAUUACAGAUGCAUAAGCCUCCGUCCAUCCUGUCUUCAUGUGGAUGCCGGGAUCUGGACUCAGGUCUUCAGCUUCUGCAGCCAGCGCUUUACCCACUAAUCCUUCUCCUCAUCUCUAGAAUUUUAUUUCUAAUGUUUUAUUUUACCUUAGGCCAUUCUUGCUUUAUGUAGAUCUGAUUUUGACAUCCUUCUAAAGAUUUAUUUAUUUAUUUAUUUAUUUAUUUGCAAUGCUGGGGCUGGAACCCAGAGCUUUGUGCAUAUGGGGCAAGCAUUUUGCCACCAUGAGCUGCAUGCCUUGGUCUGUAUGCAGAGAUUCGUCAGGUCUUCUGUAACUAUGAAACGACGGAAAUUAAAAACCUAAGGUCCC